rnacentral:pre_miRNA from 1 species
CAUGUACUCCCUCCGUUCCGAAUUACUUGUCUUAGAUUUGUCUAGAUACGGAGGUAUCUAGCACUAAAAUGAGUCUAGAUACAUCCGUAUCUAGACAAAUCCAAGACAAGUAAUUCGGAACGGAGGGAGUACACC